UACGGAGGGUGCAAGCGUUGCUCGGAAUUAUUGGGCGUAAAGCGCACGCAGGCGGCGAGGUAAGUCAGUUGUGAAAUCCCCGAGCUUAACUUGGGGGCUGCAGCUGAUACUGUCUUGCUUGAGUACGGAAGAGGGGAGCGGAAUUCCCAGUGUAGAGGUGAAAUUCGUAGAUAUUGGGAGGAACACCGGUGGCGAAGGCGGCUCCCUGGUCCGAUACUGACGCUCAUGUGCGAAAGCGUGGGGAGCAAACAGG
rnacentral:rRNA from 1 species